UGAUUUAUAUUACCUAAGACAGUAGGGGCCGAGUGCUUAAUCAUCCUACCGAGGCAUGUAAAGACUUGAGCGGAGAUAUAUUAAUAUCUAUAUUCAAGCACUUUUUGCCAUGGGUAAAAGGUGCUUUUUUUAUUG
rnacentral:sRNA from 1 species